AUUGAACGCUGGCGGCAGGCCUAACACAUGCAAGUCGAGCGAGCGGCGGACGGGUGAGUAAUGUCUGGGAAACUGCCCGAUGGAGGGGGAUAACUACUGGAAACGGUAGCUAAUACCGCAUACCAUCGGAUGUGCCCAGAGUGGAUUAGCUAGUAGGUGGGGUAACGGCUCACCUAGGCGACGAUCCCUAGCUGGUCUGAGAGGAUGACCAGCCACACGUGAACUGAGACACGGUCCAGCCUCCUACGGUAGUAAGCAGUGGGGAAUAUUGCACAAGGUGCGCAAGCCUGAUGCAGCCAUGCCGCGUGUAUGAAGAAGGCCUUCGGGUUGUAAAGUACUUUCAGCGAGGAGUCGUUACUCGCAGAAGAAGCACCGGCUAACUCCGUGCCAGCAGCCGCGGUAAUAC
rnacentral:rRNA from 1 species